CAGUCGCCACGGUAAUACGAAGGGGGCUAGCGUUGCUCGGAAUUACUGGGCGUAAAGGGAGCGUAGGCGGACAUUUAAGUCAGGGGUGAAAUCCCAGAGCUCAACUCUGGAACUGCCUUUGAUACUGGGUGUCUUGAGUGUGAUAGAGGUAUGUGGAACUCCGAGUGUAGAGGUGAAAUUCGUAGAUAUUCGGAAGAACACCAGUGGCGAAGGCGACAUACUGGAUCAUUACUGACGCUGAGGCUCGAAAGCGUGGGGAGCAAACAGGAUUAGAUACCCCAGUAGUCCCUGUCUCUUAUAC
rnacentral:rRNA from 1 species